AAAACCUAAAAAGGGUUUUUCUCUCUGUGGUCUCUCUCGCCGUCUUCCAAUUCUUUUGCAGAGCUCAUCACACAACAGCUUUUGAUCAGCGAAAUUAAACACGAAUUAUCUCUCUGGUGGAUUCGGCGGGUUAUUUGUUGCCUCUUUUUUCUUCUCAAUCUCUUUGUUCCUUCUAAACCCUAAUCUCUCUUUUGAUUCUACAUCAAAUCCAAUUCUUCUGUUCAUGACCAUUUCAUAGUCAUUGUUUCUGUCAACGAUGGCGGGUAUACAUGGCAACGUGGUUUUUUAGGUGAAUUGAUAUAGAUUGAUGAGAACGUGGCGAGAGAGAUUAAUAAUCAUAGAGCACUUCGUCAUCCUAAUAUCAUCCGCGCUUUAAGGAGGUGGUUUUGACACCAACUCAUAUCGCCAUUGCUAUGGAAUAUGCUGCUGGUGGUGAGCUAUUUGAGCGUAUAUGUACCGCUGGAAGGUUCAGUGAGGAUGAGGCAAGAUACUUUUUCCAGCAGCUUAUAUCUGGAGUUAGCUAUUGCCACGCUAUGCAAAUAUGCCACAGAGAAAAUACCCUCUUGGAUGGAAGUCCUGCUCCACGUCUCAAGAUCUGUGAUUUUGGUUACUCCAAGGUCUGUGGCAUCUAUCCCCAACAUGGACCUUAUUUGUUAAUUUCUUUUGUCGGAACAAGCUCUGUCUUUUGUUCUCUUUCCCUCCAUCUUACCCCUGACUUUAAAACAUUUAGCGUUACUGCUCAUUUAAGAGGCACUACGAAGUUAAGUUCAAAUGUCCUCCGUGGGUUUCAGAAUACUAUUGAUGGAGUUGCAACUGCCAAUCAAACCAGAUCGCAGAGCAUCUAACCGGGCCAUACAGUAAACGGUUUAUGUUUUCUUCUCCUUAUGUUUAAGCAGCCAUCAUUUCUUCCACUCUUUCUUUUUUUCUUUGAUUGUAUUUGUUAGUUGUAGUAGCUACGUACGACUCUUGCAGUUGAUGUUCAAGUUUAUUUUCUUUUCUAUUGACGAGCUUCUACUGAUUGUUUCUUUUUAAAAAAAAAUUAAUAAGCACUUGCAUUGAUUGGCCACCGUUUUAUGAUGACUCUUCACCAAAUAAUGUGAUUCUAUUGGCCAUCGUUUAUAUAUCUAGAGACUGUAAUAUCAAGAGAGUGUAAUAUUUUUUAAUCACUUUCAUGUAUUUGUGGACAGAUUUUGGAAGCUGGAGUGAUGUUUGUUUUUGUUUAGCUCUAAACACAAACCAGAGAUAGAGAGAAGCUGUUGGUGCAGUGGCUAUAUAUAUGCUCAAGAGUAUUCCACAUGUUUGCUUCUAAUAUUUAAACCGUACAUUGAAAAGUGUUUCAUGAGGAAGUGAGGUUUCCGUAUGACCUUGAUGUGAAGCUACUAUUCUCAAUUGCAAAGGAACCAACCAGAAGGAUAAGUACCAUUUUUUUUUCUUUUUCAAAAAAGGUUUCAUUAUAAGAUUUUUAGUAAUAUUGUAACAGUGGUGUGUGUUGGGUUUGCAUUGCAGGCAAACCUUAGUGAAGGGAUUGGAGCCAUUUGUGAGUUUGCUAGAAGAUGAGUGAGUGAGACACUCUGUUUUUUCUUUUUUCUUUUCACUUUAUAGUCUAUUAAAUCUUUUUAAAUUGUUUGUAACAUAUCAAAUUUAUACAAACAAAUUGGAUAUUGAAUGGUGGAUAUCAUGGUUUUCUUUUUCU